UGGGGAAUAUUGCACAAUGGGCGCAAGCCUGAUGCAGCCAUGCCGCGUGUGUGAAGAAGGCCUUCGGGUUGUAAAGCACUUUCAGCGAGGAGGAAGGUGUGAGCUUAAUACGCUCAUCAAUUGACGUUACUCGCAGAAGAAGCACCGGCUAACUCCGUGCCAGCAGCCGCGGUAAUACGGAGGGUGCAAGCGUUAAUCGGAAUUACUGGGCGUAAAGCGCACGCAGGCGGUUUGUUAAGUCAGAUGUGAAAUCCCCGGGCUCAACCUGGGAACUGCAUUUGAAACUGGCAAGCUAGAGUCUCGUAGAGGGGGGUAGAAUUCCAGGUGUAGCGGUGAAAUGCGUAGAGAUCUGGAGGAAUACCGGUGGCGAAGGCGGCCCCCUGGACGAAGACUGACGCUCAGGUGCGAAAGCGUGGGGCAGCAAACAGGAUUAGAUACCCUGGUAGUCCACGCUGUAAACGAUGUCGAUUUUGGAGGUUGUGCCCCUUGAGGCGUGGCUUCCGGAGCUAACGCGUUAAAUCGACCG
rnacentral:rRNA from 1 species